UUGAGUGUUACGCCGGAAUGAACGGAAGUCAUUGAUGUUGACUAAUAUGGGAAUCAUCUCUAAUACUAAA
rnacentral:tRNA from 1 species